rnacentral:tRNA from 1 species
ACCUGGCUAGCUCAGUUGAUAGAGCAUGUGACUGUUGAUCUCAGGAUUGUGACUUCAAGCCCCUUGUUGGGUG